AUUGAACGCUGGCGGCAUGCCUUACACAUGCAAGUCGAAUGGCAGCACGGGUGCUUGCACCUGGUGGCGAGUGGCGAACGGGUGAGUAAUACAUCGGAACGUACCUUAUCGUGGGGAUAACGCAGCGAAAGUUGCGCUAAUACCGCAUACGCCCUGAGGGGGAAAGCGGGGGACCGUAAGGCCUCGAGCGAUUAGAGCGGCCGAUGUCUGAUUAGCUUGUUGGUGAGGUAAAAGCUCACCAAGGCGAUGAUCAGUAGCUGGGCGGAGAGGACGAUCAGCCACACUGGGACUGAGAACCGGCCCAGCCCCCUACGGGAGGCAGCAGUGGGAAAGUUUGGAGAAUGGGGGCAACCCUGGUCCAGCAAUGCCGGGUGAGUGAAGAAGGCCUUCGGGUUUUAAAGCUCUUUUGUCAGGGAAGAAACAGCAGCUCUAACACAGUCUGCGAAUGACGGUACCUGAAGAAUAAGCAGCGGCUAACUACGUUCCAGCCGCCGCCGUAA
rnacentral:rRNA from 1 species